UGGGGAAUAUUGGACAAUGGGCGAAAGCCUGAUCCAGCCAUGCCGCGUGUGUGAAGAAGGUCUUCGGAUUGUAAAGCACUUUAAGUUGGGAGGAAGGGCAGUAAGCGAAUACCUUGCUGUUUUGACGUUACCGACAGAAUAAGCACCGGCUAACUCUGUGCCAGCAGCCGCGGUAAUACAGAUGGUGCAAGCGUUAAUCGGAAUUACUGGGCGUAAAGCGCGCGUAGGUGGUUCGUUAAGUUGGAUGUGAAAGCCCCGGGCUCAACCUGGGAACUGCAUCCAAAACUGGCGAGCUAGAGUAGGGCAGAGGGUGGUGGAAUUUCCUGUGUAGCGGUGAAAUGCGUAGGUAUAGGAAGGAACACCAGUGGCGAAGGCGACCACCUGGGCUCAUACUGACACUGAGGUGCGAAAGCGUGGGGAGCAAACAGG
rnacentral:rRNA from 1 species